AGGCCCAGAGAGAGAUGCUGGGCCUGAUCUGCAGCCUCCAUGGCAGCUAUUGAUCAGCUAUUGCCUCUCUCUUUCUUUCCU
rfam:Myotis brandtii contig180166, whole genome shotgun sequence.